rnacentral:rRNA from 1 species
UACGUAGGGUGCGAGCGUUAAUCGGAAUUACUGGGCGUAAAGCGUGCGUAGACGGUUAUAUAAGUCGGGUGUGAAAGCCCCGGGCUCAACCUGGGAAUUGCAUUCGAGACUGCAUAGCUAGGGUGCGGAAGAGGGAAGCGGAAUUUCCGGUGUAGCGGUGAAAUGCGUAGAUAUCGGAAGGAACAUCAGUGGCGAAAGCGGCUUCCUGGUCCAGCACCGACGUUCAGGCACGAAAGCGUGGGGAGCAAACAGG